rnacentral:rRNA from 1 species
CCUACGGGAGGCAGCAGUAGGGAAUCUUUCACAAUGGGCGAAAGCCUGAUGGAGCAACGCCGCGUGCAGGAUGAAGGCCUUCGGGUUGUAAACUGCUUUUAUAAGCGAGAAAUAUGAUGGUAACUUAUGAAUAAGGAUCGGCUAACUACGUGCCAGCAGCCGCGGUCAUACGUAGGAUCCGAGCAUUAUCCGGAGUGACUGGGUGUAAAGAGUUGCGUAGGUGGCAUAAUAAGUAGCUAGUGAAAUCUGGUGGCUCAACCAUUCAGACUAUUAGCUAAACUGUUAAGCUCGAGACCGUUAGGGGUAACUGGAAUUGCUAGUGUAGGAGUGAAAUCCGUAGAUAUGAGAAGGAACACCAAUAGCGUAGGCAGGUUGCUGGGACGGUUCUGACACUAAGGCACGAAAGCGUAGGGAGCAAACGGGAUUAGAUACCCCUGUAGUC